AGGCGACCCAGCCGGAGACGUCACCGCCAGCCCAGCCGUUCGGGACCCAGAGGGAUGGAGCCAGCCCCUCCCAGUCUCCUGCCCAGAAGAUGAAGAAGCUGUGGACCCCUCUGCCGAUCUCACCCUCCUUCUCCCCUUACCAGGCUGGAAGGGUGUCCCCCUCUGACUUCCGCCCAGGCCACGGUACGGGUCACCGCCAUCGGGUGCUGAAGUGGGACA